UACGUAGGGUGCAAGCGUUAAUCGGAAUUACUGGGCGUAAAGCGUGCGCAGGCGGUUAUGUAAGACAGAUGUGAAAUCCCCGGGCUCAACCUGGGAACUGCAUUUGUGACUGCAUAGCUAGAGUACGGUAGAGGGGGAUGGAAUUCCGCGUGUAGCAGUGAAAUGCGUAGAUAUGCGGAGGAACACCGAUGGCGAAGGCAAUCCCCUGGACCUGUACUGACGCUCAUGCACGAAAGCGUGGGGAUCGAAACAGG
rnacentral:rRNA from 1 species